rnacentral:rRNA from 1 species
CCUACGGGAGGCAGCAGUGGGGAAUAUUGGACAAUGGGCGCAAGCCUGAUCCAGCCAUGCCGCGUGAGUGAUGAAGGCCUUAGGGUUGUAAAGCUCUUUCAGUAGGGAAGAUAAUGACGGUACCUACAGAAGAAGCCCCGGCUAACUUCGUGCCAGCAGCCGCGGUAAUACGAAGGGGGCUAGCGUUGUUCGGAUUUACUGGGCGUAAAGCGCACGUAGGCGGAUCGUUAAGUUAGGGGUGAAAUCCUGGAGCUCAACUCCAGAACUGCCUCUAAUACUGGCGAUCUAGAGUCCGGAAGAGGUGAGUGGAACUCCUAGUGUAGAGGUGGAAUUCGUAGAUAUUAGGAAGAACACCAGUGGCGAAGGCGGCUCACUGGUCCGGUACUGACGCUGAGGUGCGAAAGCGUGGAGAGCAAACAGGAUUAGAUACCCUGGUAGUCCACGCCGUAAACUAUGAGAGCUAGCCGUUGGGGAGUUUACUCCUCAGUGGCGCNGCUACGCAUAAGUCUCUCCGCCGUCGGGAGGUACGGUCGCGAAGAAUUAAACUAACAAGAAGUUAGACGGCGUGAGACGUCGCCGACGGACGACGACGAGGGAGGUAGG